GGGCCCGUAGCUCAGCCAGGUAGAGCACCGGGCUUUUAACUCGGUGGUCAAGGGUUCGAUUCCCUUCGGGCCCGCCA
rnacentral:tRNA from 1 species